rnacentral:lncRNA from 1 species
CCACUGUGUCCUGGUGCUGGUGCUUUGGAAAUAUUGAGAGGAAUAUUCAAGCGAAUUAUUUUAUUUGCACUCACCCAGCAAAUGUAUUUAUUGCGCACUGACUCUCAGCUCAAGACUUUAAUGUACCUUGCUUCCUAAGGGGUCUCCUGGAGCUCUAAGGAAACAGACAGGGUAGGAACUGGCAUGUGACAGAAAGACAGGUGAUAACAGCUGAUUCCAGUGUAAUGAGGUCUGGGUGAGCAAGAUGAUAGCCUUAAGCCGGCAGUCACAGAGGGUGUGGACAGGAGAGGAACUAUCCUUCCAAGGUGACUUGAGGUCAUGGUUGAUUUUCUACAGACACUCCUCGCAGCUCUGUUCCCUGGCCAGGACAGGACACGCUUUCUCACCUGGGCUCUAGUCUGAGUGUAGCAUCAAGUCCACGACCUUGUCUGAGCCAAAUCAAUAUAGUCACAUCCUACCCCAAGUGAGGAUCCCAGGUCCCCCUCAUUCCUGGUAGCCUAACCUAUGAAGCCACCUAACCCAGCUGGCCCAAAUUUAACCCCACAAACUUCCAAGAAAGGGGUGGAAAGAAGUAGUAUCCUAUGGCCUUGCUAUUCCUUUCGGGUCCACCAACGGGCAGCAUCAGCUCCACCUGGGAGCUUGUUAGAAAUGCAGACUCUCAGCUUCACCCCAGGUCUCCUGAAGCACAAUCUGCAUUUUAACAAGAUCCUGCGUGAUUCCUACGUGCGCAGUCAAGUUUUGAGAAGCACUGACUUAGGGGCACCCAUACGGGUGGAGAACAAAGCGCUGGCCUCCCCCCUCUCCCCAGCUUCCUCACACACACACCCCAAGUACCCUUGCUGUGGGCAGAAGGAGACUUGGUGAGAUCGCCCCAAGGAGGAGGCGAGUGAAGAAGGCGGCCCUCAGGGAAAGGCGUUUGCCCCACGGUAAUGGCCCGGGCUGACUCUGGAUAAAAGAUUAGUCUUCAGCCUGGGAAGUGCUCUGGCCAGCUGAGAGAGCUAUGUGAGGAGGAAACUGUCCUGGAUUUGCUCAUUCCCCACAGCGCCAACAGAGUGCUGAGAACACAAAAGGCAAGUGGGUGAAUGAUGGAGAAUAAUGGGACAACUACACACAGGACACAUGCUGAGCAGGAAGGGAAAUCCUUCUGACUUCUGGGAACAGAAGGGGCAGCAGGAGCUGUGAGCCUGAGCCAGGCCCUCCUGCUACUUCCUCAAAAUGGACAGAAGGAACCAGCUUUCUCGGGAAACAGGGCUGCUUAGCAAGAGGCCUCGGACCUGCCAUGGGAUGGAAGUAGCAAGAAAAACAAAGCAUGUCUGAGACCGAGGAUGCGAGUCAAGAAGAAGCUGAACUUGGCAGACCAGAUUCACAAAUCCAGGAUCUAGAAAUUUCCAAGUUUCUGUAAGAGGAAUGAAACCCAGCUCUGCAGUCACACGUGCCUGUGAUUUAUCUCCCCUCAACAACAUAGCCGUCUAGGAUCCCACAGAUGCUGCUUUCAAGGAACUUCAGAGGGUUCCUAGGAAAAGUUUGUUUCAAACUGAUGAAACCCCAAAUAUAUUGGAGAUCAAUAAUUUAAAGUGUCAGUAAGAUAAAAUGUUAAGAUAAGAAAAGAAUAUGGCCAAGUCAGCCAUACCUGGUGUCCAGCGAUGCUGAGGCUGCCACGCCUCUGGCAGCACACAUUGUCCAGAGUCAUGGUUAAUGAUGACAGGACCUGAGUCCUGUGAUCUAAGGUGGUGGACCCUGUAUACUCAUAGGUCUGUUCUGCGGCAGAAUUUUUUUUUUGAGGUUCUGGAAAUUUAACCUCCCUUUGUUUUUCCACCUUCUGAGCUUGGAUCUCCAGCUUCCACGGUAAUUUUAUGAGCUACCAAACGAUCAUUCAGACAAUUGAUUUUCUGGUUGAAUGAGAAUCAGUUUCUGUUAUUUCUAACUUAGACUGGACAGAGUUAUUGCAUAAAAUUCAACAAGUCAAAACAUAUUAGGUGGUUAUAAAACUAGGAUUGAAAAAAUAAUAAUUUCCACUUACGGCCAAAAAUGGAAUUUAUAGCAACAAGAUUUAUUCUCACACUUUAAGGAACUAGAAAACUGGACAAAAUGCAAAGAACAGGGGUUUUCACUCACCAAACAGGCAGUGCGAGGCUGCGAUCCCACGGAGAAGGGAACAAGGUGGGCCCCACAGCUGCACCCACUGACUGCCUGGAUGCAGUUUCCAGGCCUCAGCACAGGGAGGGCUAGCCCAAACCGGAGCCAGUUAUCUUGAUGAGUGGAAAGAGACAGAAAUCAGAGCUCAGAGAGACCCAGGUGACUAGGAUUUGUGGGGCAGAGUACUAGAGAGAAGAGAGCUGCACAGUGAGAGCUCUGGUGAUCUUAAAAGGGUCCCUGUGAAUCUUUAACCAAAUUCUGAUCUGUAUAUGCAUAAAGAAAACUUCCUUGAUGCCAGGGAAAGGACAAGAUAAUCACUGAAGCACAGAGUUAACACAGUUUGUAUUGCCUCCAGUCAUAGUGGAAAGACCUUGGAAACAUGAGUUAUUAUGUACUGUCCUCAGAAAGGUCAUCAUCUUAGUAGUGAGGUUAAAUU